UGAGGUCAGAGUUCGCAAGGUGCCCAGCAAAUUCAACGACUUUGUGAGGGCGUGAUUCUGUUGCGAGAAAAGUGGAUCUCCCUAACUGAAUCUUGCUAUUUCCAUUUCUUUUUUUCGUUAUUUCCAAUUUGCUGUUUCUGGAAGAAUCUUCGUUAGGAGUGAUUCGUAUAAAUGGGAAAUCUCUUUGUGUUGGGAGGGGUAUAUAAGAAGAACUUUUUGUUAAUUUAGAGUUUAGCACUUACAAUUUUUACCAAUUGUAUCACUAACGUUCCCUGUUUAGUUCUCUCUUUUUCUUUUUUCUCUUAUUUUUGCUUCCCCUGCGCUUCUUCUCCUCCUCCUCCUUCUUCCACCAACGCUUUGGUGCACUUAUCUCUUCAAUCCAUCCCCUCUUUAGAUUUUUACGUUUCCACACCUCGUUGUUCCUCUGUAUUUUUUCUCGUCUUUCCCUCUCUUUUCCUUUUCUACAUUUGUUCCAUGUUCUGCCUUUUUUUUUUUUUUUUUUUUUUGCUUUUCAGAAGUUAAUAUUCCUCCAACAAUCCCCAUCUUUGUUCGAUAGCAGCACUUGUGAUUGUACACGACUCCUAGGUUUGUGUUUAUUGCUGACAUUAGCUUAGGAUUACACGGUUUUUUUCCCCCUUUUUCUCUGGAUUUUAAGGGUUCAGCUUGGUUUGUUAUGGAUGCUACAAGAUUGACUUAGAAGAUGCUUGGUGUUAAAGGAUUUAUGGUCGGUUUCUGACGGUGGACCUAUUUUCGGCAUUUUCUCAAUCGUUAUCUUCAACACCAAGCCUUAUUGUUGUUCUUCAUUCAUUUGAUCUUGAUGAUCCUUCUGCCUCUGAAUGGACUAAGAACAUUAUCUACAAUGAAAUUUUGUCAUUAGCAAAUUGUAGUUCACCAGGAAGGGAUGACUCUCGCUUAUUGGAGUCUAUGAGCAAUUUAUUCCCAGCUGUGGAGAUCUGACAUAACUUAAUAUGAUAAUCACGUCAGAAUAAUAUUGGAGAAUGAAGACAUCAUGAAGACUUGCUUUGAGGUAGGAUUGACCAUCUUGAUAUGGAAUAUGAGAUUUGUUUCCUUUUUUUUUUUUUUGGUUCUGUUUCCUUGUUUUAUUGGAAUGUUAUGUGAACAUGCAUUUACU